GACGAACGCUGGCGGCGUGCCUAAUACAUGCAAGUAGAACGCUGAAGCGAGGAGCUUGCUCUUCUUGGAUGAGUUGCGAACGGGUGAGUAACGCGUAGGUAACCUGCCUUGUAGCGGGGGAUAACUAUUGGAAACGAUAGCUAAUACCGCAUAACAAUGGAUGACACAUGUCAUUUUUUUGAAAGGGGCAAUUGCUCCACUACAAGAUGGACCUGCGUUGUAUUAGCUAGUAGGUGAGGUAAUGGCUCACCUAGGCGACGAUACAUAGCCGACCUGAGAGGGUGAGCGGCCACACUGGGAGUGAGACACGGCCCAGACGCCUACGGGAGGCAGCAGUAGGGAAUCGUCGGCAAUGGGGGCAACCCUGACCGAGCAACGCCGCGUGAGUGAAGAAGGUUUUCGGAUCGUAAAGCUCUGUUGUAAGUCAAGAACGGGUGUGAGAGUGGAAAGUUCACACUGUGACGGUAGCUUACCAGAAAGGGACGGCUAACUACGUG
rnacentral:rRNA from 1 species